rnacentral:rRNA from 1 species
GGCUAACUACGUGCCAGCAGCCGCGGUAAUACGUAGGGGGCAAGCGUUGUCCGGAUUUAUUGGGCGUAAAGAGCGUGUAGGCGGUCAUGCAGGUCCGUUGUGAAAACUCGAGGCUCAACCUCGAGACGCCGAUGGAAACCAUGUGACUAGAGUCCGGAAGAGGAGAGUGGAAUUCCUGGUGUAGCGGUGAAAUGCGCAGAUAUCAGGAAGAACACCCGUGGCUAAGGCGGCUCUCUAGUACGGUACUGACGCUGAGACGCGAAAGCGUGGGGAGCGAACAGGAUUAGAUANCCCUGGUAGUCCACGCCGUAAACGAUGGGUGCUAGGUGUAGGGGGUGUCGACUCCCUCUGUGCCGAAGCUAACGCAUUAAGCACCCCGCCUGGGGAGUACGGCCGCAAGGCUAAAACUCAAAGGAAUUGACGGGGGCCCGCACAAGCAGCGGAGCAUGUGGUUUAAUUCGACGCGACGCGAAGAACCUUACCUGGGCUUGGCAUGCACGGGAAUGUCGUAGAAAUACGGCAGCCCUUCGGGGCUCGUGCACAGGUGUUGCA